rnacentral:rRNA from 1 species
GGAGGCGAUGAAGGACGUGAUAAGCUGCGAUAAGCUUGGGGUAGGUGCAAAUAACCUUUGAUCCCAAGAUUUCCGAAUGGGGCAACCCGGCUGGUAGAAGGCCAGUCAUUCCGUAAGGAAGGCGAACGUGGGGAACUGAAACAUCUAAGUACCCAUAGGAGGAGAAAAUAAACAAUGAUUCCGUAAGUAGUGGCGAGCGAACACGGAAGAGGCCAAACCGAAGGUAGCAAUAUCUUCGGGGUACGGACAGUAAACGGCAUUGCGGUAUCUUAGCAGAAGUGCAUGGGACGGCACACCAUAGAGAGUGAUAGUCUCGUAAGCGAAAAGAGAAGGCAGCCAACUGUAUCCAGAGUACCGCCGGACACGUGAAACCCGGUGGGAACAUGGGGGGACCAUCCUCCAAGCCUAAAUACUCCCUGGUGACCGAUAGAGAACAGUACUGUGAAGGAAAGGUGAAAAGAACCCCGGGAGGGGAGUGAAAAGAACCUGAAACCUUAUGCUUACAAGCACCGAGAGCCCAUCAAAGGGUGAUCGGGUACCUUUUGUAGAAUGGUCCGGCGAGUGAAUGUAACUGGCAAGGUUAAGCACUUAAGGUGUGGAGCCGAAGCGAAAGCAAGUCUUAAUAGGGCGUCAAGUCAGUUGUAUUCGACCCGAAACCGUGUGACCUAGCCAUGAGCAGGCUGAAGUGGAGGUAAAACUCCAUGGAGGGCCGAACCCACUCCCGUUGAAAUGGUAGGGGAUGACUUGUGGCUAGCGGAGAAAUUCCAAUCGAACUCGGAGAUAGCUGGUUCUCUCCGAAAUAGCUUUAGGGCUAGCCUCGAUUUGACAUUACCGGAGGUAAAGCACUGAAUGGGCUAGGGGCCGAGAGGUUACUGAACCCUAUCAAACUAAGAAUGCCGGAUAAUGAUAAUCGGGAGUCAGACAGUGUGAGAUAAGUUUCAUUGUCAAAAGGGAAACAGCCCAGACCCACAGCUAAGGUCCCAAAGUACAGUUAAGUGGUGAAGGAUGUGGAAUUGCAUAGACAACCAGGAUGUUGGCUUAGAAGCAGCCACUCAUUAAAAGAGUGCGUAAUAGCUCACUGGUCGAGUGAUUCUGCGCCGAAAAUUUAACGGGGCUAAAUUGUACACCGAAGCUUGGGAUACAUCUAAUGUAUGGUAGGAGAGCGUUGUAUACGGGGUGAAGUCAGAGCGGAAGCGCUGGUGGACUGUAUACAAGUGAGAAUGCCGGAAUGAGUAGCGAGAAUUAUGUGAGAAUCAUAAUGGCCGAAAGACUAAGGUUUUAGAAGGAAGGUUCGUCCGCUUCUAGUCAGCCGGGAGCUAAGGCGAGGCCGAAAGGCGUAGUCGAUGCACAUACGGUGGAGAUUCCGUAGCCGCCAUUAAUUUAAACAGAGGGACACUUUCAAGGGGCAUGACCCGGGCGUUGGUAGACCCGGGCGUAAGGGACCGAAAAUUAGUAGGGAAGCAUGCUUUAAGGAAGGCGAGAAAAGCUCUGUGUAUAGAAGAUGGCGCCCGUACCGCAAACCGACACAGGUAGUCAGGAAGAGAAUUCUAAGGCCAACGGGAGAAGGGUAGUUAAGGAACUCGGCAAAUUGACCCCGUAACUUCGGAAUAAGGGGUGCUCACGAGAGUGAGCCGCAGUGAAUAGGUCCAGGCGACUGUUUAUCAAAAACACAGCUCUCUGCUAAAUCGAAAGAUGACGUAUAGGGGGUGACACCUGCCCGGUGCUGGAAGGUUAAGAGGAAGGGUGCAAGCUCUGAAUUGAAGCCCCAGUAAACGGCGGCCGUAACUAUAACGGUCCUAAGGUAGCGAAAUUCCUUGUCGGGUAAGUUCCGACCCGCACGAAUGGUGUAACGAUCUGGACACUGUCUCAACUACCCACCCGGCGAAAUUGUAGUACCGGUGAAGAUGCCGGUUACCCGCGGCAAGACGGAAAGACCCCAUGGAGCUUUACUGUAACCUGAUAUUGGGUUUCGGUAUUUUAUGUACAGGAUAGGUGGGAGACUAUGAAACUAAGGCGCCAGCCUUAGCGGAGUCGCCCUUGGGAUACCACUCUUAAAGUACUGAAAUUCUAACCUGCGGCCGUGAAUCCGGUCGGGGGACAUUGUCAGGCGGGCAGUUUGACUGGGGCGGUCGCCUCCAAAAGAGUAACGGAGGCGCUCAAAGGUUCGUUCAGCACGGAUGGAAAUCGUGCACUGAGUGUAAACGCAUAAACGAGCCUAACUGCGAGAAUGACGGUUCGAGCAGUAACGAAAGUUGGAGUUAGUGAUCCGGCGGUAUGUGAAUGGAAAUGCCGUCGCUCAACGGAUAAAAGCUACCCUGGGGAUAACAGGCUGAUCUCCCCCAAGAGUCCACAUCGACGGGGAGGUU